GCUACACCUGGUCAACCCCCUCUGAUGGCUCAAGUUACAGCUCCAGCAAGCACCCGGGGCACAUGACAACAGACCGCACUCAUUUAUAGCUGGUAUGUGAGAGCUACAUUUCCAAGAAGAUGGUGUCCUUUGGGUUCAAAGCACUAUUGGACAUGAUACAUCAAUCAAUAACCAGAAACAACUCCCAUGAUGACCUUUCCCUCCGUUUCCACACAAGAUCAUCCGAAGGACCAUCUGUUACCAUUAUUCCUGGACUGUAUUUGGAAUGAAUGUAAAGACCACAUGCCUGCAUCAUUCAUCUUGAUCGUGCAAUGACUCCCUGGAGGACUGGCCAGCCACCCUAUCACACACUUUAAUCAAAUGCACUCAGAGCUCUGUGACAGCGCUCUGUCAAUGGCAGAGAAUCCUCCCGCCCCUCUAUUGGCACAUAAUUGCUCCUUCUGCUCCUUUCCACCUUCCCACAUGCGUCUC